AUGAAUUCAACUUUGAUGCUGAAGCCCAAGGAGCAGGAGGUCCUGGUGCUGGAGGAUGCACAGGGGAAGACCCAUCUCAAGGGCCUCUCUAAGGUUCAUGUCAGGUCCAUUGAGGAUUUCGCGCAGUUGGGCUGUUUCGAUGAGAACCUGGACAAGCAGAAGGCCACCAAGGCUUCUUAUACCCGGCAGCAACCUACUAAACCCUCUUCUCACCUGCAGCCACCACCCCACGCACAAAUACCAGCUGGCAAAACAGUUGUCCAAUGGGCACCUCCACAUUCGUGCCUAUGUUCAGCAAUAUGUUUAGAAUUUGGAGCCUUGCACUUUGUAGAAGUUAGGCUUAGUAUUCCAAGAUAA
rnacentral:rRNA from 1 species